AGCCAGCAAGGAAGGGGGUCCGUGUCGCCACUUUGUACGGACGACAUCAAGCGGUGCCCUUACACCCACGGAGGCGUCCACCCCUCAACGUCCCGCACUUCGACCGUCGCGGCGCGUGCGUGAGCUGCGCCACCAUUCGCACACAGAUGUCGGUGAAGUCCGGUCAGUUCAACUACGACGCCGUCGUGCGCGAAUCCCCGGCCGGCUUUACGAAGAUCACGGAGGGGACGACAGCAGUGCUGGAGCCGCCGACGAAGAAGGCAUGUACGUCUUCGGCUGCGCCUGCGCCGGCUUCGAAUCUCAGCAGCGAGGAGGCCGACAACCAGCUGGUGGGCCAGGCCGUCUUCUACAACCCGGCGCAAGUGGUAAACCGGGACUUAAGCAUCAGCGUUAUCGAGGUCUUCUCGCGACUGCGGCUGACAGAGCCGCGGCGCCGCGGUGGCACGAGGGAGGGGAUCACUAUCCUCGAGGCCCUCAGCGCCACGGGGCUGCGGGCGAUUCGCUACUACAAGGAGAUCACCAACGUGCGCUACAUCAUUGCCAACGAUAUGGACGCGGACGCAGUGGACUGCAUCGUGCGCAACUGCGCGUACAACGGGGUCCCGGUUCAGUACCCAACCUUGAUGGAGAACAUGCCGGCCGCCGCGAUUGAACUUUACCCAGGCGAGGCAGAGCCGGGGAAGGGUGAGUCGGCGACUGGUGCGUCGCCCAGAGUUGGGGUGCGCGCCGGCGGCGCCAUCUUGCCGAACCUUGACGACGCCAACGACCUCAUGUUCCGGCUGGCGAUGAACAGCAGCGCGCACCCAGGAAAGCGCGUCUGCCUCGUCGACGCACCCGCGGAGACAUCGGCGACGCCGUCGCUGCGUCCGCUGCUGCAGCAGGAGCUGAUGGAUGUCGUCGAUCUUGAUCCAUACGGCUCCGCGUCGCCCUUCCUCGACGGCGCCUUUCGCUGUAUCAAAGAGGGUGGGCUGAUGCUGGUGACGAGCACAGAUAGUGCCAUCCUGUGCGGCAACUUCGCUGACACCGCCCAUGCCAAGUACAGUUCGAUGCCCUACAAGGCCGCCCACUGUCACGAGGCCGCGGUGCGCACGCUGCUCGCCUGCGUCGAGCGGGUGGCCAACCGGCACCAGAAAUUCAUUGUGCCGCUGCUGUCACUCCACAUCGACUUCUAUGUGCGCUGCUUCUUUCGCGUCUACAAGCAGCCGGCCGAGACGAAGCUCAGCGCCUGCAAGCUCGGGUACCAGCUGCAGUGCUCGAGCUGCUCAGCAUUCUGGGUGCGGCCGAUGGCGACGGCGCGGCAGCCCCGGCCGUCGCGGCAGGAGCGCCGCCGGCAGCAGCGCGAGGCAAGCGAACAGCAGCGGCGCGCUCGCGCAGGACGCGCCAACAGCGACGCAGAUGAGGAGAAGGCAAGCAAGACAGCCGAAGGCGCGGCGGAGGCCUCGCGUGCGCAUACUCGUCUGCGUCGACUCUCGAAGCGCGAGCGGGACGGCAACGACGAUGACGAGGCGGUGGCACACAACGUUGACGGUGUUCGCACGGAGGUGUACCCCGCCUCGCCGAGUCGUCAUAGCCAUCCCAAGAUCACACCGCUCACACUACGGCAGAUGUCGAGCGCCGCCUCCGCGACGUCGACAACAGCCGCAACGGCGUGUCCGGUGUGCGGCAGCAGCAUCGUUCUCUCUGGGCCCCUCUAUGCAGCCCCCACGCAGAAUUGUGAGUUUCUCGAGCAGCUGCUCGCGCUGCUCCAGGAGCGCGCCAGCGAGGGGCGACUGAACGCGGAGGCUCGCAUCACCGGCCUGGUCCGCAUCGCCCUCGAAGAGCUGCCAGACUGCCCUCUCUUCUACUUGCUGCCCGACGUCGCGUCCUACGUGAGGGUGUGCUGCCCGCCAACGCCGUGCAUUGUCGGUGCACUGGCGCGGCUUGGGUACCGCUGCAGCCAGGUGCACUGUGCCGCCGCAGGACUCAAGACGGACUGCCCGCCGGAGGUACUGUUCCGAGUGAUGCUGCAGUGGAAGAUGGUGCAAGACACGCUGGAUCCAGUCAGCAAAGCAGCGAUCGAGGACGGCGCUGACAAGAGCAAGGAGAAGAAGGCCCCGGCAGCGUCCACCGCACCUCGGUCGCUGUUGGUGACGCCACUGGCGGAGGCGGACUUCACGUACGACAAGGCACACGACUUUCGCGGUCGCGUCAUUGGUGUGGCCAAGUUCGUGCCGAACGCGCCGGGUUGGGGGCCGCGCCGGCGUCACCAAGGGGCAGCAGUGGUGCCCGAAGCGGUGGAAUGCGGCAACGGUGAAGACAACGACGGAGGCAGCGGAGAGGCGUGAAGGCGCCGAUCUCAAAUUGUUGUUUUAUAGAGGGGCAACAUGAGGGCCCUUAUCAUGGACCCUUCACCUCGCACGAGCGAACCGGGGAGGGGGCGUUGUGCGCACGCGAUGACAGCGACCAGGACGUUCGGUGGAGGUAGGGCCAGGCUUGCGGUGGCGCGACGAGACUGCCCUGCUCCCUCCGCCGGUCUCGCGAAGGCGCAGACCGCACGUGGGCCGCGCCCACACGCCCGCGCUCACAGAGGACGGCGUGACCACGGUUAACAUAUAUAUAUAUAUAUAUAUCGGUAUAGUUAUAUAUGAGGCAGCAGCCGUGAGCUGAAAUGCGCAUUAAACACUUUAGCGGGGAGACUAC
rnacentral:misc_RNA from 1 species